UACAGAGGUCUCGAGCGUUAAUCGGAAUCACUGGGCUUAAAGGGUGCGUAGGCGGCGCUGCAAGUGCCUUGUGAAAUACCACGGCUCAACCGUGGAAUUGCUCGGUAGACUGCAGCGCUUGAGGUCGGUAGGGGUCGCCGGAACUCUAGGUGGAGCGGUGAUAUGCGUAGAUAUCUAGAGGAACGCCAAAGGUGAAGACAGGCGACUGGGCCGAUUCUGACGCUGAGGCACGAAAGCGUGGGUAGCGAACGGG
rnacentral:misc_RNA from 1 species